UGGGGAAUAUUGCACAAUGGAGGGAACUCUGAUGCAGCGACGCCGCGUGAACGAAGAAGGCUUUCGAGUCGUAAAGUUCUUUUAUAUGGGAAGAUAAUGACGGUACCAUAAGAAAAAGCCCCGGCUAACUACGUGCCAGCAGCCGCGGUAAUACGUAGGGGGCUAGCGUUGUCCGGAAUCACUGGGCGUAAAGGGUUCGCAGGCGGAAAUGCAAGUCAGGUGUAAAAGGCAGUAGCUUAACUACUGUAAGCAUUUGAAACUGCAUAUCUUGAGAAGAGUAGAGGUAAGUGGAAUUUUGAGUGUAGCGGUGAAAUGCGUAGAUAUUAAAAAGAAUACCGGUGGCGAAGGCGACUUACUGGGCUCAUUCUGACGCUGAGGAACGAAAGCGUGGGUAGCAAACAGG
rnacentral:rRNA from 1 species